UUAAAAAAGAAAAGAAAAGAUAACCGAACAAACCAAUAUCCAAUUAACCGUUAUAAAUAAAACGUGAAAAUUAAGUUCAAAAAAACCAAAAUUACUUGUCUACAUGCUGCUCUUUGGCGUGGGCAGCAGCACUCGUCAAUCGAAGGGAACAAACAACACUUGUCUCACAAUUUUCACCACGUUGAUCGCACGCAUAAAAUAUUUCACCACCGUCCCCUAACUUUCCUCUUCCAUCAGCAAGCAAACGGAUGUUUCUGCCGGAAAUGACAUGGAUCAAUUCAGAGGUUUCAACAUGUCUGAUUUCAAUAAAAGUGGGUUCAAAAGCCAAUAUAUAAGGAUAACUUAAGGCAAAGUUUUGAGGACUUCCUUCCCAAACAACAAACCAUGUAGGACGAGAACGCCAUCCAUCUCGAUUUACGUAAAAAGCAAAUUGGGAAUAGCAUAAAAGAAAUUCACCGCCAUUCAUACGAUAGAUAGCGAUAGGUUUAACAUUUUCUUUCUUCUCCACAAAUUCAAGAGACGUAUCGGCUGGAUCCAGUAGAGACUGCGUCUCUAGGUUAUCGAGACUGACCACCUCAAAACCUCUCGUACAUCCGACACAGAGUUUAUUCUUCAGGAAGUGAACCGAAGUUGAUUCCGUGGGUAUAUAAAGCUCUUUGACAAUCCUCAAUGGGUCUUGGUUAACAGUAAGGAAUUUUUUCAAGCUUGGCAUGUUCCGUGUUUUAGAGUAAUUAGUGACUGGUUCAAAAACCUUUAUAGUAGCACUCAAGACGGAACUUUUGACAGCACACACAAGAACUUUACCCAGACAAAUUCCUACGCGAAAGAAAGUUGUAUGACCAGAAACUUUCCUUGCUUUUUUAGGGGCUUGAGUAGUAUCCGCAUCAAUCAUUUCCAAAGGAUACGAAUAUAACACCUUAUCGGAAAGCAGUAGCAAUAAACUAUACUCUUCAAUAACCUCAAGCUGUGAAAUGUUGGGAAUAUUUAACGCACGUACAGGCUUGAAUUGAAGUGGGCUGUUUGCUUUUCGAAGAGAGACGUACACACCUGUGUCAGUCCCAUAUAAAAGUCGACGACCACUAUCAUAAACGCCUAUCGCAUUUACUUUAUUAUCACCAACAAAGAAAUUAGAGCAAAUGGUAACAGACUCAAACCACUGGUUACGAUGUUGUAGCAAUGUUUGUUGGUUGUCAAUAUGCUCUAACCACUUAUCCCUACUAACUUCAGUGGUUGCAUAAAGAGUGAUUUCG